AGCAACUACUCUGAAUAUCCAUCUUCCACCACUGCAUACUACAGGCUUUUGGAGGGAGGAGAGGAUGCCAUGAAUGCAGAAGAGCAUCCCCAUUAGUUAGGGUGGAAGGUGGAAAUAAAAAACCUGUGGUCUGGUUCUGUAAUGUCCUGCAUAUCUGCGGGCAAGUCACUCCCACUAUCAUUCUGCUCCUGAAGUCUCUCCACAUCUACUCCAAGAGAUAAUUGCUGAGACACAGCAACACCCUGAGCUUCUGCAGUCAUUCCUCCUUCCCAUCUUCAAAACAAAUGCACUCCAUUUAUCGUAA